rnacentral:rRNA from 1 species
GUGGGGAAUAUUGGACAAUGGGCGAAAGCCUGAUCCAGCCAUGCCGCGUGUGUGAAGAAGGUCUUCGGGUUGUAAACUGCUUUUGUACGGAACGAAACGGUCCGGGUUAAUACCCUGGGCUAAUGACGGUACCGUAAGAAUAAGCACCGGCUAACUACGUGCCAGCAGCCGCGGUAAUACGUAGGGUGCAAGCGUUAAUCGGAAUUACUGGGCGUAAAGCGUGCGCAGGCGGUUUUGUAAGACAGGCGUGAAAUCCCCGGGCUCAACCUGGGAAUUGCGCUUGUGACUGCAAGGCUGGAGUGCGGCAGAGGGGGAUGGAAUUCCGCGUGUAGCAGUGAAAUGCGUAGAUAUGCGGAGGAACACCGAUGGCGAAGGCAAUCCCCUGGGCCUGCACUGACGCUCAUGCACGAAAGCGUGGGGAGCAAACAGGAUUAGAUACCCGGGUAGUCC